rnacentral:tRNA from 2 species
GUCUUAGUAGCUCAAUGGUAGAGCUGUACACUGUUAAUGUAUAGAUUCUAGUUCAAUUCUAGACUGAGACG